rnacentral:piRNA from 1 species
UACAUGGCCGGACUACGUUGAGGUAGUGAGA